CCUACGGGUGGCAGCAGUGAGGAAUAUUGGUCAAUGGACGAGAGUCUGAACCAGCCAAGUAGCGUGAAUGAUGACUGCCCUAUGGGUUGUAAACUUCUUUUAUAUGGGAAUAAAAUGUUCCACGUGUGGGAUUUUGUAUGUACCAUAUGAAUAAGGAUCGGCUAACUCCGUGCCAGCAGCCGCGGUAAUACGGAGGAUCCGAGCGUUAUCCGGAUUUAUUGGGUUUAAUGGGAGCGUAGGUGGAUUGUUAAGUCAGUUGUGAAAGUUUGCGGCUCAACCGUGAAAUUGCAAUUGAAACUGGCAGUCUUGAGUGCAGGAGGGGUGGGCGGAAUUCGUGGUGUAGCGGUGAAAUGCUUAGAUAUUACGAAGAACUCCGAUUGCGAAGGCAGUUCACUGGACUGCAACUGACACUGAGGCUCGAAAGUGUGGGUAUCAAACAGGAUUAGAUACCCGAGUAGUC
rnacentral:rRNA from 1 species